CGAGGUGCUGCAUGGUUGUCGUCAGCUCGUGCCGUGAGGUGUCGGCUUAAGUGCCAUAACGAGCGCAACCCCCGCGUGCAGUUGCCAGCAGGUGGGGCUGGGGACUCUGCACGGACUGCCGGCGCAAGCCGCGAGGAAGGCGGGGAUGACGUCAAAUCAGCACGGCCCUUACGUCCGGGGCGACACACGUGUUACAAUGGGGGGUACAGCGGGAAGCCAGGCGGCGACGCCGAGCGGAACCCGAAAGCCCCUCUCAGUUCGGAUCGGAGUCUGCAACCCGACUCCGUGAAGCUGGAUUCGCUAGUAAUCGCGCAUCAGCCAUGGCGCGGUGAAUACGUUCCCGGGCCUUGUACACACCGCCCGUCAAGCCAUGGGAGCCGAGGGCGCUUGAAGUGCGUCGCCGGGAGGCGCGCCCUAGAGCGAAAUCGGUGACUGGGGCUAAGUCGUAACAAGGUAACCGU
rnacentral:rRNA from 1 species